rnacentral:rRNA from 1 species
UUCCCGGUGUAGCGGUGAAAUGCGUAGAGAUCGGGAGGAAUACCAGUGGCGAAGGCGGCCUUCUGGACUGACACUGACACUGAGGUGCGAAAGCGUGGGUAGCAAACAGGAUUAGAUACCCUGGUAGUCCACGCCGUAAACGAUGUCGACCAGCCGUUGGGUGCCUAGCGCACUUUGUGGCGAAGUUAACGCGAUAAGUCGACCGCCUGGGGAGUACGGCCGCAAGGUUAAAACUCAAAUGAAUUGACGGGGGCCCGCACAAGCGGUGGAGCAUGUGGUUUAAUUCGAUGCAACGCGAAGAACCUUACCUACUCUUGACAUCCUGCGAACUUGUGAGAGAUCACUUGGUGCCUUCGGGAGCGCAGAGACAGGUGCUGCAUGGCUGUCGUCAGCUCGUGUUGUGAAAUGUUGGGUUAAGUCCCGUAACGAGCGCAACCCUUGUCCUUAUUUGCCAGCGGGUAAUGCCGGGAACUCUAAGGAGACUGCCGGUGACAAACCGGAGGAAGGUGGGGACGACGUCAAGUCAUCAUGGCCCUUACGAGUAGGGCUACACACGUGCUACAAUGGCCGGUACAAAGGGUUGCGAGCUCGCGAGAGUCAGCUAAUCCCGAAAAGCCGGUCUCAGUCCGGAUCGGAGUCUGCAACUCGACUCCGUGAAGUCGGAAUCGCUAGUAAUCGUGAAUCAGAAUGUCACGGUGAAUACGUUCCCGGGCCUUGUACACACCGCCCGU